rnacentral:lncRNA from 9 species
GAGCGGCCGAGGCGGGGACUACAAGUCCCGGCGUGCCGCGCGCGCGCUCCCCCCUGGGGUUCCGGAUGGUGAGCGGCGAAGGUAAGGCGAGCUCGCAGAGGCAGCGGCGGCGGCGGCGGAGACGGAGAGAGGCAGGCAGGCAGGGCGAGGGCGAGAGACGGAGGGAGGGAGCGAGCGAGCGAGGCAGACCAGACAGACAGACAGGCGGGCGGGCGGGCGGGCAGAGCGAGCCACCCGCCAGGCUGCGCUCAGCCCCGCUCGCAGCGGAGAGAGCAGAAGGCAGGAGGAGGGAGGGGAGGAGGGGGAGGGAGGGAGAGAGGGAAUCCAGCUACCACCACCCAAAGCCAGCGUCUGCUUUCUGUCCUCAUUUCCUUUUCCCACCCAGCUCUGAGAGCAGAGAAAGGCAGAGGGAGCGAGAGAUAGAGACAGUCAGACAGACAGACAGACAGCCGGAGAGAGCGGGAGGGAGGAGGGCGGAGGAGAGGAGCAGGAGCAGGAGGAGGACUACGCGGGGCGCGUUCCCUCCCAGCCGGGCGCCCGCGUCGCCGCCGCCGCCGGAAGACAGACGCCCCCCAAAGCCCUUCGCCUGGCUCGGACCCACGGAGCCGGCAGACCAGCACUCCGGUGAGUGGCGCCUCCUCCCCACCCUAGACCCCCGCUGGGGACCGUCCGGCCGGGCUCUUUUGUGCAGCGCACCGGGGGGGCCCCGCGCCCCCUCUGCGUGCCCCGGUCCGGUCCGCCGGACCCCGUGGCUGCGGUGCCCGCGGUGCGAUCGGUCUUUGUUUCCACCGGGGCCCGCGGCUCGGCUGGGCUCGGCUCGAAGCCUGGCAGGCAGCGCCGGGAAGGGGGAGGGGGAGGUGGACGAGAAGGGGGGGCAGGGAGGGGGGGUUCUCGGGUUUCCUGGCCGCCCCGCGGCUCCCCCGGCUCGGGGGCGAGGUGCGCGCCCAGCGCUGCCGCGCGCCCCCUCCUCCUCCCCCUCCCUCCGUCUUUGGAUUUAA